rnacentral:rRNA from 2 species
AAAACGACUCUCGGCAACGGAUAUCUCGGCUCUCGCAUCGAUGAAGAACGUAGCGAAAUGCGAUACUUGGUGUGAAUUGCAGAAUCCCGUGAACCAUCGAGUCUUUGAACGCAAGUUGCGCCCCAAGCCGUUAGGCCGAGGGCAUGCCUGCCUGGGUGUCACGC